GCCUGCUGUGUGUGCUCAGCUCCUCCAUUUCCUGUCACCCUUCCCUGCUCCUAAUGGGAUACUGAGGCUCUGCUAACCCACUUUUGGUAGCGCUGCUUGUAAAGGAGGAGAGAACCGCCACUGAGGCCUGUCUGAAUCCUCACCCCAAUGCACGGUGCAGUGUCCGCUCAGCAGUGCUGGAAGGCAGAUUGCAGCCUCUUUGGAUGCUGCUUCUCACCCUCCCUGCCUACCCCCAUUCCACGCGGUGCUCUUGGAAGAGUGGAAACUUCCUUUGAGCACUGCCCAGGCACACGGGCUGCUCCCCGGCCCCGUGCUGAGCUGGCUGUGUUGGUGCCGUGCUGCUGAGCCAUCACAUUCGUACGGCCGCCUUCGCUCAGAGCUCUGCAGGAACAGCGCAGGUGGGAAAAAAGGAACUACGAGGAGCCCCAGAAAGCACUGAGCGGCGGCAGCACAAAAAUUGAUUCCAUCCCAGAGUAACUGUGCAGCAGAAGGACGUGUCGUCAGGGCAGCCUCGUAAGGUGAGGAGUCCUUCAGCAGCUCCAACAGCCCUGCACAGUGGAGGCAAUGAGGGCCAUCGGUUGUCACAUCUCUGCACUCAGCUCAGGGAGAAUCCCCACAGCUCUACUUUAGGAAACCUGGAGAUCCGACAGCAGCCAGCAGAAGGAAAGGGCUGAGUGCAGAGUUAUGGGUGCCAGAGCAAAUCCGGACAUCUCCCCGUGUUCCAUUGGGAGCUCCCAUGGAAAGCGGCCGGGGAAGCGGUGACCGACUUCGUGUGCUUCACCUGAACCCCCAAACCUCACACAAACUCAUUAGAGGUGAAUGGAAAGCCUAUGGUGCUCAGCGAGAGCCAUAUCCACGCGGAAAUGGGAUUCAAACCUCUCGCUGUUCCUUCUCCUAUCUAUUAUACAUGAGCCAUCAGAGCAGCGUAUUAAUAAAACAGGAGUGAAAGCACUUGGCACUGCCCCCUCCUUAGCAAAACAGCAGAGCAGAGGCCGUCAGCUCCCACCUCUGAGGUCUGGAGCUCCAUCUGCCCCCUGCUCCGGGGCCGUGGUUGGUGCCGUGGCUGCGCCCAGCGGAGGGAGCACUCUGUGGGUGAUGGGAUUCACGCUGGAAAAAUUCUGGACAUGGCAAAGAAAGAGGGUUAAUGCGUUCAAAAUGUCUUAGCGUGGUGCAGAGCCCAGUGGGAGAUGGUGUUGUGAUAAAGGGGAAGGGCAUGGAGAUGGUUGGGCUGAGCUGCGCGCUGCAGGACUGUUCAGGCAGAGCCUCGUGGUAUGAAAUGCGGGUGAUGGAUCCCCAGACCACAACUGUAGCUUUUGUCUUUUGAGAAAGAAAAGAAGGAAUUGGUCCUACCGCUGCCUACCAACAGCCCAAAGCUUUGCUGGGCUCCUUCCUGCAGCCACCACUUGGGAUAG
ensembl:lncRNA